rnacentral:rRNA from 1 species
AUGUCGCCGUUGUGCUCGAGUUCGUGCUCAAGUUCGGAUACAUCCUUCCGGGGUUUGUCGCUGGUGGCUGCCAUGGCGGACGCGGAGGCGGCGCGUGAUGAGCGUCUGGUGUGGUCGGGCUCGUCGGGUGCGUGCGAGACGUGUGGGACGCACUGGUGCGGUUGGACUUGUCGGGCGCGUCGAGUGCGUGCAGGACGUGCGAGGCGUAGAGGGACGCCAGGUGUGUGUCGCCGGCGGAGAAGGAGCUCGGCAUAUGUCGCCGGGGUCGUGACGGAGCACGGUACAACCGGCGUCGGUGCGCCAGGUCGGGUCCGCGGGCUGGGUCACGGUCAUGGCGGCGGCAUCGACGACAGAAGACCUACUCUGGCGACAAUGCGCAAGUCGUGGUUUAGGGGGAAUAUGUUAGGAGUAAACCACGUCUCGAUGUGA